rnacentral:rRNA from 1 species
UGCGGAAUUUUAGAUAAUGGAGGGAACUCUGAUCUAGCGACGCCGCGUGCAGGAAGAAGGUCUUCGGAUUGUAAACUGCUGUGGUAAGGGAAAAAUGCUAUGUAGAGUGGAAAGCUACAUAGAGGGAUGGUACCUUACUAGAAAGCCCCGGCUAACUACGUGCCAGCAGCCGCGGUAAUACGUAGGGGGCGAGCGUUACCCGGAAUCACUGGGCGUAAAGGGAGCGUAGGUGGCCUAACAUGUCAACUGUGAAAACCCGGAGCUCAACUCCGGACUUGCAGUUGAAACUGGUAGGCUUGAGGACGGUAGAGGAAGACGGAACUGCCAGUGUAGGGGUAAAAUCCUUAGAUAUUGGCAGGAACGCCGGUGACGAAGGUGGUUUUCUGGGCCGGUUCAGACACUGAUGCUCGAAA